rnacentral:rRNA from 1 species
AUUGAACGCUGGCGGCAUGCCUUACACAUGCAAGUCGAACGGCAGCAUGAUCUAGCUUGCUAGAUUGAUGGCGAGUGGCGAACGGGUGAGUAAUACAUCGGAACGUGCCCUGUUGUGGGGGAUAACUAGUCGAAAGAUUAGCUAAUACCGCAUACGACCUGAGGGUGAAAGUGGGGGACCGCAAGGCCUCAUGCUAUAGGAGCGGCCGAUGUCUGAUUAGCUAGUUGGUGAGGUAAAGGCUCACCAAGGCGACGAUCAGUAGCUGGUCUGAGAGGACGAUCAGCCACACUGGGACUGAGACACGGCCCAGACUCCUACGGGAGGCAGCAGUGGGGAAUUUUGGACAAUGGGCGAAAGCCUGAUCCAGCAAUGCCGCGUGUGUGAAGAAGGCCUUCGGGUUGUAAAGCACUUUUGUCCGGAAAGAAAUGGGUCUGGUUAAUACCUGGGGUCGAUGACGGUACCGGAAGAAUAAGGACCGGCUAACUACGUG